CUGUCAUUUGAAUUAAUGGGAAACAUGAAAUAACAGCAAUACGGUUUGCUUCCUUAGCUGUUUUGCUGCUUUACUUGUGCACACUUCUAUUGCAUUUACAUAUUAAGAAAGGGGAACUUCAGUGGGAGGAAGAUAGUUUCCAAACAAAACGAGGAAAGAAGGAGAAAUGAGGAUUGUGUCACAAAUGGAGUCUAAAGCACUUCACUCACAAAAGGAAGGUAAAAAUGUACUUAGUGAUAUAAAAUAGGCAUCAUCACAUCCUGUGAUGAUGUUGAGUAACCUCAAGCAGUGACCCUACUCAAGGGGAGAUUCUAGUGUAUGGGCAGCUGCUUGCAAGGGCAACACUCAAAAUGGUUCUUAGGCUGCUUGCUAUUUGUGGGAUACAAUGAUUGACUCAUAGUCAUACAAUGUUUGCACCUCACUAUAUGCACUAGGCUUUUAGUGUAAGACCAGGCUGGGUGGGGGGAAGAGUGCACCAGCACAGAGGGUUAAGGGCUUAUGAAUAUAGAGAAAGAAAGGGAAAAUGCUAGCAUUGUGUCAUGGUGACUGCAUGUAUGAAGCAAUGCUUAUCAGAGCUGUAUUUAAGCAGUUUGAGAUGACUGUGUACAGUGUUUCUCCACAUACAAUCACAGAACUGUUCUCAGCUGAACUCUGAAGCACAGGGUGUUCACUCCUGCAUCCCAUCUAGACUUGGUCUGGCACUUAAGGCUCAUUCCCAGUGUGCCCACAGUAGCUUUCUCCCUAGAGGCAAGUGUGCUUCCAGUUGGAACAAGAGAUGGAACAGAAGAGCAGUGUCUGAGGAGUCCCAAAGGGAACAUUCAUACGGGAUUGAUCUUGUCAUUUCAGUCUUCUUGCUCUUUAUUGAAAGAAAGGAUAAAAAACCCCUUGCAUCCACACUCUUGCAAGAGAACAUCUUUCUGAAAAGGACCACAGAACACUGGCAACUGCUGAGAGAAAGCAUUAGUAGAAAGAAACAGAGUGAUUGUAAGAGGAACAGAGAAAAUAAUCUACUUACUAAUGUACACAGGAUGAACUACGGAAAGUUCAUGCAAGGAAGAAAAAAGUAAAAAACAAACAUGAAGAGCUAUACUUGCUUGUUUUUUGGUGAGAAAAAGGACAAAUGGAGAGGUGGUCUGUAAAAACAUAAUAAAUAGCAACUGCAGUUUCCCCAGUGUUUUUUUAUUUUGUCUGGAAUUACUUACAUGAGAUGAUCAUCAAUGUUAUUUGUUGAGGAAGCAUCUUCCAGUGUCCUGGUGGAUGAAAAGAUGAACAUGAGCCAGCAUUAUGAUCUUGCCGCCCUGAAGGUCGACUGUAUCCUUGUCUGCAUCAGAAGAGGGGUGGCCAGCAGGGAAACAAAGGUGAUUGUCCUCUUCUACUCUGCCUUUGUGAUACCCCCAUGUGGAUUACUUCAUUGCUGCCUUUGAGUAUUUGAAGAGAACUUACAAAGAGGAGAGAGACUGACUUCUUACGUGGUCUGAUAAUGUUGGGGGAGCUUAUCAAUGUUUAUAAAUGUAUAAAGGGUGGGUGUCAAAUAGAUGGAGUCAGGCUUUUUCCAGUGGUUCCCAGCAACAAGACAAGGGGCAAUAGGCACAAGCUAGAACAUAGGAAGUUCCAUACAAAUGUGUGGAAAAGCUUCAUUACAUUGUGGGUGUCAGAGCACUGAAACGUUGCCCACAGAGGCUGUGAAGUCUCCUUCUCCAAAGUUAUUCAUCUGGACACUUUCCUGUGCAACCUGAUGUAGGGAACUGCUUAAGGUGGGGGCUGGAAUGGAUGAGUUCCAACAGGUCCCUUGAGCCCCUACAAUUCUGUGAUUCUGCAAUUCUGUGACUUUCAACCUUUCAUCCAUUCAACACAUUGGAUCCUGAAGGUUUUGUUUAUAAUUAUUUUUUUUUCAUUAGAAGACUUGUAAGUAUUUUGAAUGUUAACAAGUAUAGAUGGUCUUAUGCAUGGCAAAACUUAAUACUUUAGCCCUUAUCAUAAAAUUAGGAAAUAUUUGCUGUUCUGAUUUCUGUUUUCCUUAUGAAUCACCUUAUAUUCUCUACUUGCAAUAACUCAGUAAGUAAGACAUUUGAUUCUGCUGUUAACAAUAGGGCUUAAAGGGUGCAUCUCUGCUUUUUUAACUGGUACAAGAUACAGGGCUUGAUACAACAUUCAUUAUAUAGUUUUUCUGAUUUCAGUAGAUUUUGGAGCCUGCCUUAAGUGAGCUUUACAUUUCUGAUUCACUCAGGAAAUUAGCCCCCAAACCUCAUGACAAGACAUGACCUCAUCCUUAUAAAGAAGAUUGGACGAUUUGUUCCAGUAAUGGGUAUAAUGGCAAAAAGCCAAGGAGGAUGGGGAUGUGUGUAAAAAUCUUGUCUGUUAUUUCUGUCAACCCAGGAAUAAUGUAAGCUUUGUACAACAUACAAGGCAUCACUAAGAACCUUUGCGUAAGUUGUUAAAGAUGAACUCUGCCCCCUGCAAUACUCAGACAAUUCUUACUGAGAUCAGUAAGUCUGGUCCAUGUGUGUCUGAAUUUAAAAUUUCUUCUAGACAAUAUUGUUUUGUAAUGAUUUCUUUCCAGUGAAUGCUCUCUCAAAUUAUUUCCCUUUCAGCUGAUUGAAUGAGAUGAUUUUUCCUUAGUUCUUCCUUAUUGUUACUUCAGUUUCUCAAGUGAAGUUUCAGAUAGUGAGCUCUUUCAGACCCUUCCACUUUGGGUCAAGUGCUGUCUUUUACUAUUCAUUUCGUGCUCAGAGGUGUAUUCUUAGACCCACAGUGUUAAGUAUUCUUAAUGUUAAAAAAAAGGCAAAUCGUUAUAACAUGAGGGUUUUGUCAAUAAAAUACAUCUGUGGGUAAGAACCGGGUACCUUCUGAUUCAUUUAGAAGCCUUCACUCUACUUUGUUAUACUCAGCCUAAAGUCACAGACUUCCCAUUUACAGAUACUGAUCACCAAC
ensembl:lncRNA